rnacentral:rRNA from 1 species
CAUGUACGGAACCCUUUAGAGAUAGAGGGGUGCUCGAAAGAGAGCCGUAACACAGGUGCUGCAUGGCUGCGUCAGCUCGUGUCGUGAGAUGUUGGGUUAAGUCCCGCAACGAGCGCAACCCUUGUCAUUAGUUGCUACAUUCAGUUGGGCACUCUAAUGAGACUGCCGGUGACAAGCCGGAGGAAGGUGGGGAUGACGUCAAGUCCUCAUGGCCCUUAUAGGUGGGGCUACACACGUCAUACAAUGGCUGGUACAAAGGGUUGCCAACCCGCGAGGGGGAGCCAAUCCCAUAAAGCCAGUCGUAGUCCGGAUCGUAGUCUGCAACUCGACUACGUGAAGUCGGAAUCGCUAGUAAUCGUGGAUCAGAAUGUCACGGUGAAUACGUUCCCGGGUCUU